AUGUUGCGGCGGAGGGUGAGUAACACGUGGGUAACCUGCCUGUAAGACUGGGAUAACUCCGGGAAACCGGGGCUAAUACCGGAUGGUUGUUUGAACCGCAUGGUUCAAACAUAAAAGGUGGCUUCGGCUACCACUUACAGAUGGACCCGCGGCGCAUUAGCUAGUUGGUGAGGUAACGGCUCACCAAGGCGACGAUGCGUAGCCGACCUGAGAGGGUGAUCGGCCACACUGGGACUGAGACACGGCCCAGACUCCUACGGGAGGCAGCAGUAGGGAAUCUUCCGCAAUGGACGAAAGUCUGACGGAGCAACGCCGCGUGAGUGAUGAAGGUUUUCGGAUCGUAAAGCUCUGUUGUUAGGGAAGAACAAGUACCGUUCGAAUAGGGCGGUACCUUGACGGUACCUAACCAGAAAGCCACGGCUAACUACGUGCCAGCAGCCGCGGUAAUACGUAGGUGGCAAGCGUUGUCCGGAAUUAUUGGGCGUAAAGGGCUCGCAGGCGGUUUCUUAAGUCUGAUGUGAAAGCCCCCGGCUCAACCGGGGAGGGUCAUUGGAAACUGGGGAACUUGAGUGCAGAAGAGGAGAGUGGAAUUCCACGUGUAGCGGUGAAAUGCGUAGAGAUGUGGAGGAACACCAGUGGCGAAGGCGACUCUCUGGUCUGUAACUGACGCUGAGGAGCGAAAGCGUGGGGAGCGAACAGGAUUAGAUACCCUGGUAGUCCACGCCGUAAACGAUGAGUGCUAAGUGUUAGGGGGUUUCCGCCCCUUAGUGCUGCAGCUAACGCAUUAAGCACUCCGCCUGGGGAGUACGGUCGCAAGACUGAAACUCAAAGGAAUUGACGGGGGCCCGCACAAGCGGUGGAGCAUGUGGUUUAAUUCGAAGCAACGCGAAGAACCUUACCAGGUCUUGACAUCCUCUGACAAUCCUAGAGAUAGGACGUCCCCUUCGGGGGCAGAGUGACAGGUGGUGCAUGGUUGUCGUCAGCUCGUGUCGUGAGAUGUUGGGUUAAGUCCCGCAACGAGCGCAACCCUUGAUCUUAGUUGCCAGCAUUCAGUUGGGCACUCUAAGGUGACUGCCGGUGACAAACCGGAGGAAGGUGGGGAUGACGUCAAAUCAUCAUGCCCCUUAUGACCUGGGCUACACACGUGCUACAAUGGACAGAACAAAGGGCAGCGAAACCGCGAGGUUAAGCCAAUCCCACAAAUCUGUUCUCAGUUCGGAUCGCAGUCUGCAACUCGACUGCGUGAAGCUGGAAUCGCUAGUAAUCGCGGAUCAGCUGCCGCGGAU
rnacentral:rRNA from 1 species